AUUGAACGCUGGCGGCAUGCUUUACACAUGCAAGUCGAACGGUAACAGGCCGCAAGGUGCUGACGAGUGGCGAACGGGUGAGUAAUGCAUCGGAACGUGCCCAGUCGUGGGGGAUAACGCAGCGAAAGCUGCGCUAAUACCGCAUAUGAUCUAUGGAUGAAAGCGGGGGACCGUAAGGCAUCGCGCGCGUAGAGCGGCGGGGGUCAGAUUAGGUAGUUGGUGGGGUAAAGGCUCACCAAGCCGACGAUCUGUAGCUGGUCUGAGGGGACGACCAGCCACACUGGGACUGAGACACGGCCCAGACUCCUACGGGAGGCAGCAGUGGGGAAUUCUGGACAAGGGGCGCAAGCCUGAUCCAGCAAUGCCGCGUGCAGGAAGAAGGCCUUCGGGUUGUAAACUGCUUUUGUACGGAACGAAAAGGCUCUGGUUAAUACCUGGGGCUCAUGACGGUACCGUAAGAAUAAGCACCGGCUAACUACGUGCCAGCCGCCGCGGUAAGAC
rnacentral:rRNA from 1 species